rnacentral:rRNA from 1 species
ACGCUAGCGAUAGGCUUAACACAUGCAAGUCGAGGGGCAGCAUGAUCUUAGCUUGCUAAGGUUGAUGGCGACCGGCGCACGGGUGCGUAACGCGUAUGCAACUUGCCUUACAGAGGGGGAUAACCCGUUGAAAGACGGACUAAAACCGCAUACACUUGUAUUAUUGCAUGAUAUUACAAGGAAAUAUUUAUAGCUGUAAGAUAGGCAUGCGUCCCAUUAGCUGGUUGGUGAGGUAACGGCUCACCAAGGCGACGAUGGGUAGGGGAACUGAGAGGUUUAUCCCCCACACUGGUACUGAGACACGGACCAGACUCCUACGGGAGGCAGCAGUGAGGAAUAUUGGUCAAUGGGCGAGAGCCUGAACCAGCCAAGUCGCGUGAAGGAAGACAGUCCUAAGGAUUGUAAACUUCUUUUAUACGGGAAUAACGGGCGAUACGAGUAUUGCAUUGAAUGUACCGUAAGAAUAAGCAUCGGCUAACUCCGUGCCAGCAGCCGCGGUAAUACGGAGGAUGCGAGCGUUAUCCGGAUUUAUUGGGUUUAAAGGGUGCGUAGGUUGUUCGGUAAGUCAGCGGUGAAACCUGAGCGCUCAACGUUCAGCCUGCCGUUGAAACUGCCGGGCUUGAGUUCAGUGGCGGCAGGCGGAAUUCGUGGUGUAGCGGUGAAAUGCAUAGAUAUCACGAGGAACUCCGAUUGCGAAGGCAGCUUGCCAUACUGCGACUGACACUGAAGCACGAAGGCGUGGGUAUCAAACAGGAUUAGAUACCCUGGUAGUCCACGCAGUAAACGAUGAUUACUAGGAGUUUGCGAUAUACCGUCAAGCUUCCACAGCGAAAGCGUUAAGUAAUCCACCUGGGGAGUACGCCGGCAACGGUGAAACUCAAAGGGAAUUGACGGGGGCCCGCACAAGCGGAGGAACAUGUGGUUUAAUUCGAUGAUACGCGAGAAACCUUACCCGGGAUU